UGCGCUUGCGGAUAGAAUAGAUUAUUUUCUAGAGAGCCUUUACAUUCAUAAAUACCUUUGUACACUCUGGCACCAUGCUGGGGAUGACAACCUACUAUCCAAAGGGUGUUAGUAAGUGUCAACAAGCAUUUCUGGCGCCGUUGCCGGGGAACACACAAAAAGGGAAACACAUAGGAACUGUAAGGAAAGUUAGGAAAUCAGUCAAGGUUAUUCAUAUAAAAUAUUAGACUAGACUAUAGAGAAAUAAUUGCAUAAAAUAGCUACUAAGUGAGAAAUCAUAACAAGGCACCUCUGCUUUGGCAGGUUCACCCUGUUGUUUUUCUAUAUUUAUAUUUUUAUACAAGGUAUAUCAGGAUUGACUUUGGUACAUUCAACUCUUCAUCAUCAGAACCAAAGCAAUCAAGAAAGAAAGAAGAAGCUAGCUACCAAUUGGUGAAGCUAUGGCACAAAAGACCUUGCAAGAAUUCUCUGCUCCAAGUCUUGAGAACAUUCCAACUGGUCCAAGAUUUGCACUAGAAGAAGGAGCACCCGAGUUCGAGCUCAAGUCAUGCCUCAUCAAUUUGGUACAAGCUACACAAUUCAGUGGAAAGGCACAUGAAGAUGCUAGUGCACACUUGCAGAAUUUCUUAGAAAUUGGAAGCACAAUCCGUAUCAACAGAGUCGACAAAGACAUCAUACUGCUUCGCCCUUUUCCAUUCUCACUAGAAGAGAAAGCGAGGAAGUGGUUCUACACUCAUCAAGAUAACAUCAACAACUGGACGAACUUGUCAGACGCCUUUCUAUCAAAGUUUUUCCCUAUGGGCAAGACAGCUGCCUUAAGAGGAAAUAUUGCCAGUUUCCAAGAGCAGAAGACAGAAACCAUUUCAGAAGCAUGGGAGCAUUUUCAAGGAUACAUAUCAGAUUGUCCUCACCAUGGAAUGGCCACAUGGUUACUUAUGCAGACCUUCUACCAUGGAUUAACCCAGAAGGCUCAUGAGUGCCUAGAUCCAUCUGCUAAAGGAUCAUUCUUGGAGCUUACAAUUGGAAAAGCAGAGAUACUUUUGGAUAAGAUAGCAGAGAACCAAAGCUGGUUCCAAGAUGAAGCUCAACAAUGUCAUCAAACUGAAGAAAUACCAGAAGAAGUAAAUGCAUUAUCAACCAAGAUGGAAAAUUUGCUCCAUUGGAUUGACCAGAGGGCCAAGUUUAAAGAAGAUCAAAGGGCCAUUGAGACAGCAUACAAAUAUCACCCCACUUCGAGUCAACCCAAUAGAAAAGGUAUGAAUUCAAGUAAAGAACGCAGGGAAGGCCCUCAAGAACAUAGGUACAAGGAAUUCAUCCCGACACUCCUCGCACCAGUCAGAGAUGAGCAUUGACCCAACACCCCCGCAAGCUCCGUCAUCUUCAUCUGAUCCACAAGUCAAGGUCCUGCUCAAGAUAGGAGACCUUGGACUGAAGACCCGCAGGGAGAAGGAAGUUUGCUAGCAGCUAAAGAAUAAGGAUUUCAUUCACACCCCCACUCUUGAUCCUAUCUUGCUACAAGAAACAGGUAUGGAUACUGAAUUCGAUUUGAUUUUUCAGAUGGUGGGUUGGACAAAUUUUUGGAACAUAACUGAGCUGGGUUCCCGUCUUCUCACCCUUGAAUUUCUUUGCACUUUACAAUAUUAUGAGGGGGGAAUUGCUUUUCGGAUGUUCAAACAGGACAUUAUGUUGUCUUGGAGAGAACUGAGCGGCCAUCUCGGUUUCUCUUCAAGAUGCAUCUUGGACAUUGACUCCGACUUACCCAAUUUUGAGAGACACCAGUUCUGGAGAGAGAUAUCUAGAGAUGAGUUUUAUAGCCAAGCCCGAACCAGCGACAUGGAACACCCCACUCUUAGGAUGUUCCACAAAUGGCUUGGGUACAAUCUUUUCCAUCGUGAUGAUAUUAGAAAAGUAAGAGUAGGAGAUUUACAACUUCUAUAUGCUGCUAUAAAUAAAGUACCCACUUCCCCUGUUACACUUUUGGUUUCUCAUUGGCUUAGUAUACCUACUCUUCAGGGACCUGUAGGAUGUACUUCACUUAUCACUCGUCUAGCCUCUAAUCUUCAUUUCCUAGAAAACUCGUCAUUGGAAUUCAUUGACGAGUUACGAAUUUAUCAUGGCUAUGACACAUUUAGGAAAGCUCGGAUGUUGAAAAAAGAGGGGAACAUAAUGUAUAUGUUAUACGAUAAUAAAGGCAAGAUUCGGUUACCUAACCCGAACCUUGGCCUCUAUGUUGUUCAAAAUUUUUUGAUUGAGAUUGCAGUGACACCGGUAAACUAGAGAGCUCCAUAAUGAGUGGCAUCUGAAAGGAUGACCACCCAUCAAGAACGCACCUGAUAUGGAGUUGAUCCCGGGCCGGAAGAAGCAACGCACCUGCAUUAUUGCGACUACAACCCCCGAGUCCUUCGGGACCCAUGGGUUCAACAUGCUCAACCACAAGAGCCAACACAGGAGAUAUGGCCGGAGAGCCAAGAUCACCAGUGGACAAACCCGCUUUUCCGUACGGGCAGGUACUCCACUGAUCCAUAUGGAGCUUCAGGGUCCAGACCUCCGCCCCAAUUCGAUGCAGGACGAUACUCCGACGCCUCUUAUGCUUUCAUGAAUGACUACUACCAAGAGGCCGGUGCUUUCUUCACCUGUACCGACAACACCCUCCUCGACAUCCAUAAUACGCAAGCGGAACAUGGGCGACUCCUGGAACAGCAACAAAAAUGGAACCAGGACCACGCCGCUGCAGUACAAGAACUGAGACAAGAAACCACGACAAUGAACGACAACAUCACCACCAUGAUGCGAUUCUGGAACAUUUGGUAAGACCAACAACCACAUCCAGCUUGGGGGAGUUCCUCCCCUUUUUAUCAAGUAAGUUUUUAUUUUGCUCUUCUUAUUCUUUUCUGUGUUAGUGUUUUAUUUAUCUUAAAUAGAAAAACUUAGAAAACCGAAUAAAUAUUUUCUUGCUUUAAAUUACUGCAUCCUAUAAACAUAAAAACAAAAUAAAAAGAGUGUGUAGAUAAGUGUGCUUUUUUUUCUGCUAAGUUUAAUCUCUAGAAAAAAAUAAAAGACCAAAAAAAUGCAUGAUGGAAAUGAUGAAUAGUUGCUCUGUUUGCUUAUUUUCGAGUACCUAGAUUUUAUAUUAGAGUUCUUCCAAGAAUUAUUAAAACUAAAAUUACUAUCUAUGGAAAGCAUAAAACUAAAGUCUAGGUAAGAGAAAGGCAUGAUAUAAAGUUUGAGCUACUGUUUAUCUUGUUCCUACUACACUAAGUUCUGGAAAUUUAUUUUGGAAAACUUGCAAAUCACAUGAUGACUUCCUAGCACGACAAACUUCCUACCAUAGCCAUACUUGCUAUAACAUCUAUUGCUACUAUAUUUCACAUUGAGUUUGAUCGAGCUAUGUAGACCCUUAGGAGCUUUUGAUGUGAUUAAAUUAAGAUAUUCACUUGCACACAUCCACUACACCAUUCACCACCAUUCAUUAAAAUUGCUAAAAAUAAUAUUAUCACUCACUGUCCCAAGUGUUGUUAUUCUCUCUCUCUAAAAAGAUUCAAUGCAGAAGAGGCAUGGGUUUUGCAAAAAUAUGCGAGGAAAUAAAAGGGGCAAGUGCCCGAAACCUCUAAAAAGAAAGAAAAAGAGCGAGACGAGAGGUAAAAAUGGACAAGUGUCCAGAGUAGAAUUAGGGGUACAAAGAUGCCCACUUGAGCGAAAAAAAUAGACAAGUGUCCCACAGUAGAAUUAGGGGUAUCUACUACCCACCAGAAAAAAAAGAGAAAAGAAAAAGAUAGCCCAUGUUCUCCCAAAGCAAAGAUCAAAGAAGAGGGGAGAUAGCAGUAUAAGGAGCAAUGAGAAGUAAGUUUUAUCAUCACUUAUACAUCACUAUCAUUUGCUCCACCACACAUGCACAUCUUGAUUUAAUUAUAUGCUGAGUUCCUUUGGAUCCAUGGCUCGAUUAGACAACAUAUGUAUGAGUUGUUUUUCACUCCUAUGAGCUCCACUUAAAUAUCCAUUAGCUAUAGGUAAGUGACAUUUUUGGUAAGGAUCCACAAAUACCACAUAUAGAGAGACUUGAGAGAAUCAUUGCUGGAAACUCUGAGUUUUAUUUUAAAAACUUAUGCAAAACUCCAGAACAAAGGUGAAGUAUAGACAGGAGGAAUAGUGCUUGACUUAAUUAUUUUGUCUUUCGAUUACUUAAGACUCAGGUGCAGGUACUAAGCUUCAUGACACUUCACUCUAAUCUGGAAGAAUUUUAUAUGAAAGCAUGUGUGCCUGUUAGGAAAGAAAACAUCGAAGCAACUCCUGAUCUGUCUGAGUUUAGUUGUUUGCUCAGGGACGAGCAAAGGGUAAGCUUGGGGGAGUUUGUUGACGGUCCUUAAGUACUAAAUUUAGCCAUCAACUAAACAUGGAAAAGGAUCAAUAUGCACCAAACAUCUAGAAUUAGGGUUUUAUCUGACAGAAUUCCACGAGCUUUGGUGUUUGUCUAUUUCUGCAGGGGGUUAUUAGGAAAUAUGGAGAGAAGGCCCACAUGUCAUGUUUACAAAGAGAUAAUUACGUGCCGCGCAAUUUUCCUUAAUCUAGAAGAGUCCAGAAGCCACGGCAACGAACGGGAGACCGGACGGGCUCGGGGGCAAGGCGCUCGCCCUCCCCCCUUGGGCGCCCACCCUGGCCUCAGGGCCAAUCACAAUCAACUUCAUGGAUUAUGCUCCACCGACCUAAAGGAUCAAGGAAAAUCGUGCGAUCAAUGUCGGUUUGAUCCGACGGCCUAAAGUUAGGGAGAGAGGAGAAAUCAUUAUCAGAGGAAGCCAUCAAAGUUAUGGUUUAGAACUUCUCUCCCAUAGAGAAUUAGAAUUAGCUACUCCCUAAUCCUUCAAGUUUAGAGGAUUGAUUAGAUAGAAUUAGAGAAGUAGAGCCUAGUGCUCUGGAUUCGGAUCUUUGUUAAUAAAGACUGGUAUUAUUUCAUAUCUUUCUCUACUACUUUAUUCUAAUUGUAUUAUGUCUCUAUUUAUUAUGCUCUUAGUUUGCUCUAGUUCUAUAUUUGAUAUAGUUAUGAUUGAUAAUGAGUUUAUGUAUAAGUUUGCAAAGCGCUUAGCUCUUGACACAUGGGAGUUAAGUGGUAGAUUACAUGUAGGCGUGGUGCUUAGAUGUUAUUUACCUGCAAAUAUAUCCUAUUGGCCGGGUCGUGUGGUAGUUCGCGAUAGUGACAGCUUCGUUGAUUCUUAUAUAGUCCACCCUCCGUUGAUAGGACAGACAGAAUUGGUAUUGCGGAGUAAGUCUUGCGAUGCUCUGAUUUACUUUAGCAAUGUUCCUUAUACAUGAAUAAAGAGUCUUUUAUACUAUAUAUGAUCUUGUAGAUAACUAGAGUAGAUUGUGACUUAGUAGAUAGUAGAUGACUUAUUAUCCAUUCUCUAGCUAAUCUGACGUCACCUUACAUAUAUGAGGAGUAGUCUAUUUUCUAAUCACUGUGUUAUUUACCCAUGAGCUUAUAUUUCAUUAUCAUUAUUAUUAUGGCUUACCCCCUGUCAAAGUAAGUGACUGUGUGACGAGUUCCUCAUUAGUAAUCAUAUUUUUGCAUGUUUAUCUCUAGUCUAUGCCUUGAUAGAUUUUAUCCUUAUCUUCAUCUUCAUUGUUCUCUUAAGCAAAAUUAUAAAUAACGAUACCUGGAAUACUUUCCUGGUGAAAUGCUACAAUGAGGUAUUUUAUCUGUGCGCUUGCGGAUAGAAUAGAUUAUUUUCUAGAGAGCCUUUACAUUCAUAAAUACCUUUGUACACUCUGGCACCAUGCUGGGGAUGACAACCUAGUAUCCAAGUGGUGUUAGUAAGUGUCAACACAUGACACAACUCUAAACCAGGGGUCAACAAAAGUUGACAACUCUCAACACAAGCAAGCAACCUAUGUGCUGGGUUUCUAUCAUGUAGAGCAU
rnacentral:lncRNA from 1 species